AGUGAACGCUGGCGAUAGGCCUAACACAUGCAAGUCGAACGGCAGCACAGUAAGAGCUUGCUCUUACGGGUGGCGAGUGGCGGACGGGUGAGGAAUACAUCGGAAUCUACUUUUUCGUGGGGGAUAACGUAGGGAAACUUACGCUAAUACCGCAUACGACCUACGGGUGAAAGCAGGGGAUCUUCGGACCUUGCGCGAUUGAAUGAGCCGAUGUCGGAUUAGCUAGUUGGCGGGGUAAAGGCCCACCAAGGCGACGAUCCGUAGCUGGUCUGAGAGGAUGAUCGGCCACACUGGAACUGAGACACGGUCCAGACUCCUACGGGAGGCAGCAGUGGGGAAUAUUGGACAAUGGGCGCAAGCCUGAUCCAGCCAUACCGCGUGGGUGAAGAAGGCCUUCGGGUUGUAAAGCCCUUUUGUUGGGAAAGAAAAGCAGCAGGUUAAUACCCCGCUGUUCUGACGGUACCCAAAGAAUAAGCACCGGCUAACUUCGUG
rnacentral:rRNA from 1 species